rnacentral:lncRNA from 1 species
GAGAAAUAUGGAUUCCCUGUCAUGUCUUUUGUUCUUGUUCUAGAUUGGUUUACUUUUAUUUUAUGUGUACUCCUGUUUGGCCCGUGGAUGCGUGCAGGCGCCCCUUGCUGCAGCUCUCAAGGGGAUGCCCUUACAGAAAGGCAGGCUCCAGACCCCGUAUUAAGUCCUUAACUGAGAAGUCUGCUUCUGUGCUCAUCUUCUUCAUUGUGAGAGCUCACCCCGGCAGAGGAUGUCAGUAUUUGUCUAGUCAUGUCUGAGAAGAAGCAGGCACGUGCUCUAUGUGCUUUCUGCCUCGGCUGUCCCAGAACGAACAGACCAGGCUGGCAUCAAACUCAGAGAUCUGCUGCGUCUGCCUUCCAAAGGCUAAAAGUGUAUAACACCAGUGCUAAGAAGAUUUUUAGAUCCUUUUCCAACAACCUACAAAUAGGAAUUACAUAACAGGACAUGUUUUCAAAGUCACAGAUUCCUAAAAGCUGCAGGAGACUGACUGACCAAGUGUUCUUUCUCAUUGGGGAUGAUGUACUUAGAAGUGUCUAGCCUAAGCUUAGAUGUCCUUGUCUCUGAGGGCACAUGUCCCGGUUUGUUUUCUCCUGAGCAGCUCCAGCACAUGUACUUGGUAGUUGUUAUUAAAGUCCAUGUUUUCACAAGCAGCCAGAAACAAAUCCAAUCUCAGCUACACCAUUGGCUGAAUGCGGUAGAGCACUCAAAGAACAUGAAGAUUUCACAGUUCACUGUCACAGGACCCUCUCAAGGUCUGCGUCUGUUAGAAGCUAGAACAUGAAAAUGGACAUGCCAAUGGCAUCGUCUUGGGAAGGGGCUGUCUGGAUGGGUCUGUUUCUCAUGGGAAGUGGUCAUUAGGGGUUGACGGCAACUGAACUUUUCCACUGUGGUUCAAGGACUCGUGACUUUUUAAACAGCCUGUCUCAGGACAGCAAUCCUAAACAUAUAGAAUCUUUUGAAGAGAUGACCUGGCUACACUGGAGACAAGGAGACCACAGGUGGAUUGCCAAGGGCUGCUUCUCUGAGGAAUAAUGAAUCUAAUUCAUCUCAAGCCAAGGUAGAACUUUUCUCCCUACCCAGGAGGCUGCCAUGUCGCUCCUUGUCUGUCAUGAUAGUCAUGGCUAACAGUGUGUACAGGAAAUGCAGGUUAACAAAAGGAAGUC